ensembl:lncRNA
GUCUGAGACCGCUCCCAGUGACCCCAUGGGCGUGAUGGAUGCUGAAACAGACCAAGGGCGAGUGCUGGGGCCUGGGGCAUGAAAAUGCCCAGCAGUAAAAGCAGCACUCGUCUGAUCUCAGUGCCUCCCAGGUUUCUUGGAACUGGGUUUGAGUCAGUUCCCAGUGCAGGCCGCCAGCAGAGCUUUGUGGUGCUUCAGCAGCAAUCACCUGCAAACCCAUCUCCCUGCCAGUGCAUGGAGCAGCACCAGGAACAGCCCAAUUAGCGGCCAGGUCAGGGCUAAUGAGCCAUGCCAUGAGCUGUGCUGCUGUGGUCGCUCCUGGCCGGGCUGCUGCCUUCAGCUCCGCUCAGUGCUGCGCAGGGAGCAGCAUUUGUGCAUCAGCAGACACAGAGCAUGGAGUGAUGCCCCCAUGUCUGCAGGGUCCCGCAGCCUCUGUCCCUGACCCAAAGGGCUGUGCUCCGGGAGAGCAGCAGCCGAGGAAGAGGCAAUGAUUUGUCAGAGGUUUGGAGCUGCAGUUACAGCCCAGAGCCCCGAGUGCUGCUGCCUCAGGCACAGCAGCUCCCAGCACAGUGCUGUGUUUGCACGCCAACGACAUUUUCUUUGGGUGGUACCAACAUUCAAGGAGCCCGUUGUGCUGGGGGUGCUCUGGCCCCAUGCAGUGGGGCAGCUGCGGGUUGAGGCACAAAGGAGAAAUUGAUGGGGCCAAGCACACUGCACGCGUUAUGGGGCAGCUCCGGGCUGCUCCCCAACAAAGCGCUGCCUUCAGCCCCUUCAAGAGGGGAGGAGGACGCGCAGGGGAACGUUCCUGGAUCUCCUGGCAGGAGCAGCUGGGAGAGCUGUGCAGCACAGGGCUGAGCUCAGCCCUUCCCGAGGUGCAUCCUGUGCUGCAAGAACCGGCGCUGCACUGCCGAGUGCCACUGCUGUGCAGCUGAAGUGCAGCUUCAGUUCAGGGCAGAGAUCAUUGGGUCUGAAGCACCGUAUGCUGAGAGCUGUGGCUGUGCAGGAGCCCCUAUGGGCCACUCCUGUGUGACAGAUGCUGUUGGAAAUGAGGGAGACCCAACGUUGGCCAUCAGACACGCAGCCACCGCUGCUCUGCAGGACACCAAAGGGCACAGCGUAACGAUGGGUGUGCAGAGCAGAGGGCUGAGAUGGGGCAGAGCUGCUGCACUGCUGGGCACAGGGAGGGCCCUCCUGCAGCAGUGCCCACCACCUCAGCCCUCUGCUGAAACAGUCACGUGUGGGGCCAAGAAGACACCCUGUUCACCCCCCCCAUAUCCCCACACUGCUGGCAACAGCCCUGCAGCUCCCAGCCCCCCCCAGUGCCAUAUGGGGGCUGCAGUGGAGUGUUCUCCCCUGGACAACUCCAACUGCUGCUGCGCUGAGCUGAGCUGCACCUCCCUGAUGUGGGGCUGCUGCUUCCUCACCUCACUGCUGCUCCACUUCCUCUUCCUUCACGUCCCUCCCUGCACUGUUCACUGCUCAGUGCAGAUGCUCUGUGGAAAGCAGAAGAAAUGGGGGGUGGGGGUUAUUUUUAGAAGCUGCAAAAGGAAUUCAACCCAAGGCAAAUGCAAUUACUUCAGGUUGCAAGCAGGCUUCUGAGCGGCGAGAAUUAUCUUUUAAAUAGCAACUGGCCUAAAAUCAAUGCCACAAAGCAAUGAGAGCAUCAUUUAACCAUUUGAGAACAUUUACAGGAGCCAAAUGGGGCGGGGGGAGGACGGACAGUGCUGGCUGCUGCGGACACCCCGAUGGCAGCCCAUGGUGUGCUGUGUCCCACCCCAGGAGCUGUGCAUCCACUGCUGCCCUGGGCAGAGCCCCAUGCUGCUCUCAGCCUGCGUGCUGUGCUGCCUUCAGGGCACAUUUCUGCUGCAGGGCUCUCCCUGAUGCUAUUCCUGGACCACUUUUUGGGCCCUCAUGGCCCACAGCUGCUGCUGCUGGGCUGUUCUGGAGUGGGGAUGGAGGAGGGGCGGGGGGGGCUCCUUGUUCAGAGCUUUCACUCUGCAACUGCACCGCGUGAGAGGCUGAGCUCCAUUGCUGCUCCUCUGCUCUGC